rnacentral:rRNA from 1 species
GACGAACGCUGGCGGCGUGCCUAAUACAUGCAAGUCGAACGCCGACGGAGGAGCUUGCUUCUCUGGAUGAGUUGCGAACGGGUGAGUAACGCGUAGGUAACCUGCCUUGUAGUGGGGGAGAACUAUUGGAAACGAUAGCUAAUACCGCAUAAGAGACGAUGUUGCAUGACAUUCGCUUAAAAGUUGCAAUUGCAUCACUACCAGAUGGCGCUGCGUUGUAUUAGAUAGUGGGUGGGGUAAAGGCCCACCAAGGCGACGACCCAUAGCGGAUCUGAGAGGGGGAUCGGCCACACUGGAACUGAGACACGGCCCAGACUCCUACGGGAGGCAGCAGUGGGGAAUAUUGGACAAUGGGCGCAAGCCUGACGCAGCAAGACCGCGUGGGUGAAGAAGGUCUUCGGUUUGUAAAGCCCGUUUGUUGGGAAAGAAAAGCAGGAGGUUAGAACGUUGACGUUGUGACGGUACCUAAACAAAAAGCACCGGCUAACUACGUG